GUCUAUGGCCAUGCCACCCUGAACGUGCCUGAUCCCAUCUGAUCUCAGAAGCUAAGCAGGGUCAGGCCUGGUUAGUACUUGGAUGGGAGACCACCUAGGAAGACCAGGUGCUGUAGGCA
rnacentral:rRNA from 1 species